UUGCAGGGCACUGAAAACUUUAGUUGUUCACCACUGCAUUUCUUCUGAAAAGAUUACAACGUACAAUAAUGAAAGCGUAUUUAAACUAGUUAACACUUCUAAACUCUCUCAACUCUAACAACAUGCAUUAAGACAUACAAAAGUUUAAAUAACAUACUGAGAAAUCCCAAACCCUGGAAAGAACUCUAUCACCAAAAACAUGAAGACUGACAAGAGUUACCACACACAGCCGUCAGCCACAAUUAUUUUCUCAUUCCUUUUCUGUUUAUGUUGAAACUCACAUAGCUGAAUUCAUGUCAACUGGAAACAAUGCCCAAAACUAAAGUUUCUAUAUCCUCUAGCUCUCUGUCCAACCUUUAUUCUUAACCUCACAUUGGAGCUGAUGUCUAGGUAAUUGUUUUGUAAAUGUCUCUGUGUGUCCUGACAAUAGAUUCUAAAAAAAGAAACAAGACAGAAGGUUUGUUUUUAUUUGUCAUUCUUAUAUGAUCCGAUUUAAACUCUAAAUUAGAGAGAUUAUUUUUGUUAGACUGUUCCACACUAAGUUUUGAAACAUCACAGAUAGGUCACUAAUCAAGUUUUGCUUGCGUUGCUCAACUUUAAGUGCACUACAGUGCAAACAUAUGUGUCAGUAUUUUUCUUUAAGGAUUUUUUUUUUCUUUUCUGCUCUAGUGACUUUUAUUUGACAGUGUUGAAACAAACAAGCAGAUUGUGAGAGAAGAGGAACACAUGCGUCAAAGAUCACAGGGCCAGGACCCAAAUAGAGGACUAAGGCCGAGGUGUCUGCUGAGAGGGGCAGAGGCGGGGGAGGGGUGCUCUGUGAGGAGGAACCUCGGCUGGAGACUGCAGCUUCAAGGAGGAGUUUUGUUGAAUUAGGCGGGGCUUUGUGAGAGCAAAAGUUUAGGCACCCACUUUUCCUAUGGGAAAUUCAAUGAUUUCUCAUACAUUCAUGAAAGAAUCAAAGCAACAGUCCAGGUUUGCUUUAGAUUAGGGAAAAACAUUGCAACAUGACAUAAGGCUGAAAAAAAGUUGAUUUUACAUAAUACUGUAGCCCCCCUUUAACACUGCUUAGUCAGAACUGAAGGGGUUCAACAUUUCUACAAGGUACUGUACUGAAUAGAGAAGGUAAUUAUCCCAAUGUUGCCAAGUCUGUUCCAGCAAAUGAUUGCAGGUUAUUUUCUCUUGUAACCCCAUCCUACUGUAUGACAUGUUUGACCCACUAGCUGCACUAAAGUGCACAGCUCAUCGUUUUAUUUACCACAGAUUUCUGGAGGCAUUGGGACUCUUAUGUGGCCAGCUGAACUGAGACACAGUCCCAUACAUCAGCAACAAGCACACACACACAUAGUCCACCUGGAUAGGUUUUAGUCAUCAGCCAACUAGCUUAGUGAUUAUGUUUUCCACUGAGGCAAAACUAUCUGAACACCCGCAGACAAAAACCCUCCAACAGAUAAAUGGAUCCAUACACUCGCACUCAGCUGAAAUACUGAGAUUUACAGUCUGUACAAACAGAAAAGACUCACACACACGUGGUCCAGAGUCCCUCUUUGGUUGCUGGGAGUGGGUAAGGAAAGUCUGCGUACAUCAGCAGCAAGUAUAUGAAUGGAAGAAUUGCCUUUGCUCUGGCACCACACAGUCACAAUCCAUUAGCUUUGACGGGGUACCCAAAAGGAUCUGACAGCCUCCUGGCUGUGACUGCUGUGGCCUGGGGUGAUGGGGACAUACCUGUGGCUGCCUUGUGUACUCUGUGGGUAUGUGGGGAAGACUGAGCACACGUAGCAGCUGAGGCCUGGCUGCAACGGUAGCUUUGGCCCUGCAAGUCCACUCCAGCUGUUACCUCUAUAUAUGUUUUUAACAACAAUAAAUUUCUCUCACUUCU